rfam:Myotis lucifugus cont2.16366, whole genome shotgun sequence.
AGUGGGGGGAGGGGGUUGGUCCCUCAGCCUGGAUUGCAAGAGGGUGUAGGCCAGGCCAAGGGAUCCCAUCGGUGCAGG